rnacentral:tRNA from 1 species
CAAAAUUUAACAUAAGAGUAAUGUGUCUCACUUACAUUGAGGGAAUAAUUAGCAUUUAAUUAGUUUUGA